rnacentral:rRNA from 1 species
AGUGAACGCUGGCGGUAGGCCUAACACAUGCAAGUCGAACGGCAGCACAGUAAGUGGUUGCUCUUACGGGUUGCGAGUGGCGUACGGGUGACGACUACAUCGGAAUCUACUUUUUCGUUGGGGAUGCCGUAGCGGAACUUAUGCUGAUACCGCUUACGAGAUGCAAGUGAAAGAAGGGGAUCUUCCGCCCUUGCGCGAUUGACUGAGCCUGUGUCGGAUUAGCUAGUUGGCGGGGUAAAGGCCCACCACGGCGACGAUCCGUAGCUGGUCUGAGAGGAUGAUCAGCCACACUGGAACUGAGACACGGUCCAGACUCCUACGGGAGGCAGCAGUGGGGAAUAUUGGACAAUGGGCGAAAGCCUGAUCCAGCCAUACCGCGUGGGUGAAGAAGGCCUUCGGGUUGUAAAGCCCUUUUGUUGGGAAAGAAAAGCAGCAGGUUAAUACCGCGCUGUUCUGACGGUACCCAAAGAAUAAGCACCGGCUAACUUCAUG